AGUUGCGUUGAGAGUCGGCUUCUCCCUUCUACCCAGUCCUACUUUUCUCACUUUUUUACAGGGUAAAGAAGUGCUCCCAAGAGCAUUUCCCAGGACGAUCUCUGCAGACAACUUUACAUCUCAAAGUCUGUCUCCAGGCAAAAGAAAAGCCAAGAAGCCUAUCUGGGGACAGUCAAGAGACUAGAAAAGGCAAGAGGUGUUCAGGAAGAAGAUGGUGUUUGCAGAGCCAAGGAGCUGUGCUGCUUGGAGAACAUUGGAAUGACAGGGACCUACCCAGUGGAACCUGGAGUCAUGCAGGAAACUCAGCAGCUACUGGAGUGAAUGCUCGUCCAAACAAAGAAAUGGAAAGAGAGACAGUGAUUUAUUCCCUCAACUUGCCCUUCAGUUCUCCACCGUGCCUCUGCAGUGGCCUCCUUGGGAGCCAGGAGACAAGACAGCUUUGGAAAUAUCGCUCCCUGACACACAGUAGAGGGCAGAGAAGGGCAGAGGAUGCAUCGGAGGGAAAACAGGCGAACAACUCCUACACCUUCUCUGAUGCCUUCUGAUGGAGUUAGUGUCUUCCUCCUAUGCACCCUUACAGCACAUUAGGCAGAGAAUUAUUAGGACACUCACGCUAUCACAUAGUCACACUUUGUUUACAUAUCUGCCUCAACUUCUUUCUUUUCGUUCCUCCAGCACUAUUCUGGGAUAUUGCAAUUUUUGAGUAAAAUAUUUUUGAGUGAAUGAAUAAAUAAAUGAUUGAUUUCA